UAUUGUUCAAAAUCCGUUUGUAGUGUGUGAAUAUUAUGGAGAUUGACACGCUAGUGAUCAAUGCCUAGUUGGCAACAUAGACACUAUUCAGUUUAUGGGGAACAAACAGCAAAACAACCCUUUCUCCAACCCCAAAAUUACCAGAUGGAGGAACCAUCCAAACUUAUCAUAAGGAAACAAUCAAGGAGCAUCAGUUUCAGGGUCGAAUAUUUCUCUUGGUUUUCAACAGUAAUCAAGAGCCUUUAUUCCAAAUAAGAAACCAUCAAUGGAGGAGUUGCUAAUGCUGUACAUGGCCAAGACAAACUCCCCCAUCAUAGUCAAGUAGCCUCAUUGAGAAACCUUGAGAUGCAAGUUGGACAAUUGGCAAGCUUACUCAACAACAAA
rnacentral:lncRNA from 1 species